GCCGGGAUAUCUAGCCGAAAGCUCAGCCUGGUUAGAGCGCCAGCCUCCACAAAGAAGGCGUCACUCAUAAUCUGGAGGUCGGGGGUUCGAAACCCCCUCCCGGCACCU
rnacentral:tRNA from 1 species